UACGUAGGGUGCAAGCGUUGUCCGGAAUUAUUGGGCGUAAAGAGCUCGUAGGCGGUUUGUUGCGUCGGCUGUGAAAUCCCGAGGCUCAACCUCGGGUCUGCAGUCGAUACGAGCAAACUAGAGUGCUGCAGGGGAGACUGGAAUUCCUGGUGUAGCGGUGAAAUGCGCAGAUAUCAGGAGGAACACCGGUGGCGAAGGCGGGUCUCUGGGCCGAUACUGACGCUGAGGAGCGAAAGCGUGGGGAGCGAACAGG
rnacentral:rRNA from 1 species